GCUGUAAAGUGUGGUAGAGAAGUAGCCAACUUUCUGCUCUGCACCCCGUGUCACAGGAGGACAAGCUCUGCCAGAAAAGUGCAGUUGGGCUGGGGCACUUGGACAGCCGGUGCUGCAGCAGCCAAGGUGCAGCACAAACUGGGACCUUCACAGCUGUGGAAAGGAGCUGUUGGAAGUGAGCUGAACUGAAUGCAUUCAGCAUGCAGCUGAAUUCUGAACACAAGUUCUUCAUGUAACUUGACUUAGAGCUUGGCUUCUUUUCAACAACCGUGCAUUUGUCCAGAGUUGGAAAUUACAAAAAAACACCAGAGGGGUGUGUUAGGGGAUGUGAAGUGAAAGUCUGCUUAAAAACUAAUCCAGAACAGCAUCAUGAGCUGCACCUGAAGUAGCUCAGGAAGUUUGGGAGGAGACAACACAGGGACAGAGACUUUUGGAUCAAUAACUUACCUCAUGAUAUGCAAAGGCUGUGAAACUCAGCUAUCGUUGCAGUGGGACAACUGAGUGCAACAGAAUGGCUUUGGAGAGGAGAUGACAGAAAUAUCCGAAGUGAAGCAGAAUAUUACACACCACCUACCUCUCAUCCACAUAUCUGAAAGCUGCUACUCUGUAACAUGUUGAUCUUGUCACUUCGUAUCACUGUUGUCUAAGGCAGGAGCCAAAUUAUUUUUAUGGACUACAAAAGCAAAAUAACCCAAAAACCUUACCAUCAAAAAAGGGCAAAAUAAAGCUGCAAAAAACCCCACACUAAAGUGGCUGGAUUUCCUGUAAAGGGAAAAUGGCAAGGAGGAAUUCUGUACAAAUGCAGUCUCCACAUCCAUCCCCACUGGGACAGACUUUCAAAUUAAUGUUUCCAAGUUCCAACAUUUCUGAGCUGUUGCUUGAACCACUUGAAAGGAAGAAAUCUCCCAUCUAGUCGAUGGGGUUUUUUUAGAUUACUAGAAAAUAUUUUUCUAAUACGUAAAAUGUGAAAGGACUGUAAGAAAGGGGAAUGUUUUGUAUUCUGCUACUUUUGAGGACUAAUUUCUAUUUAAAGGUUAAUUGUCAAUUAUGUCAGACCCCAGAACUGUGUAACAGUUGAUAUUCCCCACACAGGACAAAAUGCACAUAACAGAGCAUUAUUCCUUCCAGCCUGCUCUCUUUGGCAACGCUUUCAUGUCAGAAACUGCUUAUAUUUGCAGUUAUCAGAUGUUUAAAAAUAUAAUUAUUCAACAUUCCCCAGCAGUUGGCUCUGACCUUUUGUUUGCUUAUUUUCCCGGUUCAAUUUGAACACUUGAUGGAUUUCCAGCUAUCUUGUGCCACCCCGUGUAAGAAAUGGGAAAUUACAGAACUUUCUGACCGCGGCGACCUGAGUUUGGCAUUGGAGUCCUGCAUUUCUGCAUUUUGAAUACACUUUUCAGUUUAUCAGCAACUGAAGCACAUUUCAAAAAGUAUUGAAAGUAUUUAAUAGGACAAUUAAUUUUUCUUAAAACGCGAUUUCUUAAUAUUUAAGCUAGUUCUACCUUCACAUUUGUAACUUUUAUAUGAUAAAGUAUACAGCCCUCAGGCCAUCUGCUGUGCAUGAUACUAGUUCUUUAUGAAUAUAUUUUCAAUAUUCUAAUUAAUAUACCUUCAUAAUUGUGCU